rnacentral:rRNA from 1 species
UACAGAGGUCUCAAGCGUUGUUCGGAUUCAUUGGGCGUAAAGGGCUCGUAGGCGGUUUGUCGCGUCGGGAGUGAAAACACUGGGCUUAACUCAGUGCUUGCUUCCGAUACGGGCAGACUAGAGGUAUUCAGGGGAGAACGGAAUUCCUGGUGUAGCGGUGAAAUGCGCAGAUAUCAGGAGGAACACCGGUGGCGAAGGCGGUUCUCUGGGAAUGUCCUGACGCUGAGGAGCGAAAGUGUGGGGAGCGAACAGG